ensembl:lncRNA
GGUGGCUCUCCUGAGCCGGUUGCCAGGCAACGGAGCGCUGCAUUAAUAUGCGCGGCGGAGGGAGCAGGGGAAGCCUCUUGCCUCUGGAGCGUGGCGGCAGCGGCGGCGGCAUCAGCGGCAGCAUCAGCAGUUGGCGGAGCCUGUGGUGGGGUUUGGCGUCAGCGUGGAGUGCAACUCCCCCUCUCAGCGCCCCAGCUAGACAGCCAACUCAUUCCUCAGUCUGCCGCCGAAGCAGCUGAGAGGGUCUCGGUCGCACUUCAGUGGAAGAAUGAUCCUCUCACUUUAUCAUUGUCUUUCUUUCUAGAACUUUUUGCUCUGUCUUCCUGGCGUCUUCAUUCUCUUGUGGACAUUUAAGUUGGGGGACGCCCAACGCAAAGCUCUAAACUCUUUUAAAGUUUUGAGUGAGAGUUGGAACAGCAUCAAUUAAACAGCAUCCUUGUAGUGUCCUAGUGUGGGGAGGUGGCUGUGACCGUGGCAAAUUAAAAACAGAGGGAGAAAGCACUGAGCACAUGAUUCAUGCUCCCUCCUCUUCUCUUCUCUUCUCUCCUCUCCUGUCAUUUCAUCUGCUCAUCACUGGCUCUCACUUCAUCUCUGAGAGGACAAAGUGAUGGAGAGGAGUUCUCCUCUCCUCCUGAACGCAGAAGAGGAACUUGAUGAGAGAUUGAAACUCGGGGCGCCAGUGAGAUGAAACUCGCCAGCGAGAGGAAAUCCGUCCACCCGAGCGAGAGACAAACUGCACAGACGCCCCGAAACGGACAGUCCGCAAGGAGAAGAGCGAGUGGACACAAACCUCUCUGAAAUCCAGGAGCCCCCCCCCCCAGCCGAAGAAUGACCGGAGCCGACUUUCCCCUUAGUGUCCAGGGAUGUCUGCCCACUCCAGAAAGGCAGUCCUGUCCAGCAUGUCCAAUGUUACGUUCCUCCUGAUGCUGUGCAAGCAGAUUGGUCUGAGAGAAAAGCUGCAGACUUUUUCUGGGAAAAUGGUCAACACUGUGAUCAGUGAUGAAGAAAAGGGAAUCCAAGACAAGGAGGGCAAGGAGGAGUCCAUUCUGGCCAUGCUUGGAAUCAUUGGGACCAUACUAAACCUCGUUGUCAUCAUCUUUGUCUACAUUUACACCACACUGUAGUCAACCCCUCCGCUGCUCCCGGAAGGCAAAGAAUCACCCUGACUUCCCGCCAUGCCUAAUGGUUCAGACUCCAGACUGGCUGUCCAGGCCGUUGACUCGCCCGACUGCCACAUAGAUCUCAGACAAUGUUAUUACGGCAAGACUAACUUACGGUUACAUCGAAAAAGGCCCCAGAGAAUCACCAGGGCUUCCCGUUACUGGGUCACUACCACUGUCACAGAACAAGCCCUUACUCCACUGUAAAUAUGCAUGAACAUGCUUUACUGCUGUGAUGAUGGCCUCGUCACAAACAUGGAGGAGCCAAUGAAACUCUUUUCAGUGACUUUAAGUGAGCGAAAUGAGCUUUCUAGCAUUUUUUGAUGUACUGUUUGAAAUGGCACUGAUGCUGUAGGUUAAACCCAUUUAUGAAAUCCACAAAUGGCAACUCUGUGCAGUAUGUUGCUCACCUUGUCAAGGACAUAUUGAGUAUAGUUGUAAAUGCUUUAUUUUACGCAAUACAUUUUGCAUCUUGCGUAUGACACUCCAUAAAUAUGGGAUUUUGUCAAUCACGAAACAUGAGCAAAAGAGCAUGCCUGAUUUAAGUGAUGCAUCCACACUUUUUACAAAGAUGGAGAUUUUACCAUGAGGCAUUCCUUUCAGAAGUGUUGUCUAGGAGCUGAUUUUUUUUUGUCAUGGUCUCAGAAUCUGAAAGCAGCUGGCUGCAAAGGACCUCUACAGGAAUCAUGGAUUCAUUAUCUUCAUGAUCAGCAUUUAACUUCUAUAUAAUGAUCAGGUCAGUAUCUGAGCUAGUGGUCAUGCUUAAUGUAAGGAUGCCUCACGAAGGCUUUGCAAGUCUGCAAUGUUUUUUUCUUAAAUGCAUCACCGUGUUUUAUUUGAUUGGUUUACUGCUCUGUUUUGUAGCUCAUUUGUAGGGUAGGAUGAAAUAGAUGCAUUUGUGUUCUACACAGUUGUAACGAGCUAUUUCAGUAUUUUUCAGCUUAUAUUGCCUUAUGAAAUAAAAAGGGAAUUUGAAUCUUAUAUCCAUGGAUAUGGAAUGGUUGUAUCUAACCUUGGAUAGAACUUCUUAAAAGUGUAUUUUCUCCUGUUUUUCGAAAUUUUAGAUAUCCCUUUAAUCACACAUUCACAGUAUGCUAGCGGUAUUUUAUCUACUUUAUUAAGUUUUCAAAAUAUGUACAUACUUGUGAAAUGGCUCUAAAUUUACAGUCAAUACUAUCAUUACUGACCUUGGUAAAUAAUUAUUUCAGAAGUAUUUCAUUUUUCGUUACAUAUAUAUGUGAGUAAUGCAGUUUAGAAGACAUGGUUUCUUCCAUAUGAACAUUAACACAUUUUGCCAAGUUACACACAGGCGUUGAAGGUACAUUCUAAUCAACAUGACAUCAUGAAGCCCUGUAGUGCUGAUUCUAGUUCUGUCCAUUUUUACUGUAAAAGUUCCUAACGUUCUUUUACUUAAAUCAUUGAAUGAUGGAUGUCGCUGGUUUAUUCACCUGUGUCUAAACUAAAAAUACUGAAAUGACUAAAAUCAUAUCUGUGUGCAGUCCUUCAUAUACAGCAAUGCAUCCCAAACCCUGUUUGCAUCCCAAACAAUUUGAUCUUAUAAGCUCUUUUAAAAGUAACUUCUUAAUUUUAACUAACACCAUAAUGUGAAUUGUGUCAAAAGAAGAAACAUUUUUUGAGUAGCCAUACUGUUUUAUUUACUGAAAAACCUUUUCUUCUGAGCAGGUUUCGGGUAAGGAUGGACUGUAAUUGGCGACUUUACAUUUCUGCACGAAUAAAUCAGUAUUGUCAAAUGUCUGCUUAGGGCACUGCUGUCUCUCUCUGCUCAUGUUGCACACUGGCUAAUGUUUUUGAGAGUCAACAAACCCUUGAGUUUCUCAUUCUAGUUCCAAUUCAUUGUACAGCGGAAUUUGUUUUAAUGCUAUUGUUGAUCAACCCUGUAAUGUGUGACUUUUAUUUCCCCAAGUUGAUUAGAGUUCCAAAGGUGUUGGAGUUAUGAUAUAUGGACAGGUAUUUAGCAGUUUAGCAUGACAUAGAUAGAGGACACGAAGCACAAUUCAUGUAGGCUCUGUACGGUAUGAAUGUAUGUUCAUUAUGAAGGCCUACUGUAUGUGUUUACAGUGUGCUAAUGUGUCUUACUGUGGGACUCCCCUCUUUUCGCCUCAUGUGCCUGCAUUUAAGACAUCGCCAUCAUCUGUUACUCUGGACAUUAUACAAAAAGAUGACUUAACAGUUUCAGUACGUGCCCAGAACUCAACUGAGUCUUCACAUCUACAUGUGCCAUGACAACCAUUUCCAAUGAAAAUAGUGUGGAAUACCUUCGGAGUAUCACACACACGUUUUUUUUGUUUGUUUUAAAAACUCUGUCAGAUAUUGGGCUUUGUUUGUUUUAAAAACUCCGUCAAGUUGAAGUUUGGACUCAUGAAAGCUUACAUUUUGAGACUUCUGUGCCUCUACCCUUCACAAUACCUGGAGGAAAUGGAGGCAAUUGGAAUCUGUGCAGUUAAAUCUGUGCAGUUGAAUCUGUGCUGUUAAAAUGGCUAAUUAUGAGAAUGUAUUUGAAUUAAGUAAUGAAUCAUAUACAUAGGCCAUGUAAAGUUUGUCUUGUAUGUCAUUUCUUUGUGACACGGGAUUGAUUAGAUAGUGUAAGUGACUGAAGUUACUGUAAAAACCUGUGAUAAGGCGCAGCCCAAGAAUGUCUACCCUCACUAUCAUGACAAAGCAUGGGGAGGAAAGAUCAUUUCUAUCUAAAUGCUUUCUAUUGGGAUUUAUUAACAGCUUCAGUAUAUUAUUUACAUAAAUCCUCCAGUUUCAAACUUGUUUAAAAUAAUGUGAGGUAAAUUAUGUGUUUCCCCCCUUGGAAAUAAGGAUUCAUCUGGUGUGUUUUCUAAUUUGGCAGGAUGGUUAUAAAUUGUACAAUUGCAACACUGCAAAGUUUAAAGCUGGCUGAUUUGUUAACAACAAUCAAAACCAAAUAAAAAUUAAAUACCAACACCUCUCUUGCACGCAACACAUUUGUGUCAUUAAAAUUCACUACAUAAAACAGGUGACAAUGUAGGACAAGGAUGUGUUUAGACUAAGAAGCAUUUUUUUUUAAAGCACUACUCAAACUACAGAGCAAACCUAACCAGCUUAAGACCUACCUUAGAAUACACUCUCUAUUGAAGUAGCAGAGAUGAAACUGUGCUUCAGUGACUACACCAUCUCACACAAUGAGACAGAUCCCCGUCAAAUCUCAAAUCAGUCUGAAGGAUGGAAAGAGAGAGGGGGCAUAACGGGCAGGAACAAAAGCAGCAGAAACCAAACAAGUUUAUUUUUGUCCUGUCUCUUUCUUUUUGCCUGCAUCAUUUAAGUCAUAUAAGUGUCAGAAUAAUUUUUCUACUCCUGCAGAAGCCCCUCAAGAUUUGUAACAGACUGGAAUAAUCUUGUUUGGGGGGGAGAGAAAUAAAUAUAAAAAAAACUAAAACAGCUUAACUCCACAUUUCUUGAAUAUAUUGGAUUAGGCAGUGAACCAAGUAAACAAUGUUGUUUGAAGUUCCACAGCUGCUGGAGCUCCCACAUGCCCAGGAGCCUCUGUUCUGAGCUAUUGUCUUACCUGGAUGUGGAACACAGCCUGAGAUCACGUUGAGGCUCUAAUGUGCUCACUGGGAAAAAAUGUUUUCAGGGUUUUUGCGCAAUGUGCUCAAUUUAUGAAUUUAAAGAAGUCUAAUUAUGCCCCUGUAAGACUCAAAUUGACCAAUGGUGAUUGUGUGUCUGGGUGUAUAUGUGUGUGUGUGUGUCUGUGUUUUAAUGCCCUGUAAUUCUCUCUAAUUGGUAUUUUGUUCUUUCGAUGAGAUAUGCUAGACACUAAUUGUCAGAGAAGUUAACAGUGGUCAUAGUCAGUACAUCUGUUUGCAUAAAAUCAUCCCAAUGCUUUAAGCAAUCAGCUCAAGAGCUUUAGGUUAAAUCAAUCAUUUGUUCACCUAUAGGAAUAUUGAGUUGAAACUGAUUUCCAGAGUUUUGCAUUUGUAUUGUUUCUUGUGAAAAAUCUGUUUGGCUGUUUAAACAGUUUCAACAUGCUUAAUUACAUCCUGAACAUGGGGCUGUUAUGGUUCUGGCUGACUUCAUUCUAGGAACCAGAUCUUGAGGAACAUAGACCUACUGUACAUUUUAUUUUGAGAUCUAGGUAUAGGUAGACUGAACUGAGGGCCAGACUUCGGCUUAGUGAAAGGGGAGCUUCUCUAUUGGGUUCCUCUUUUAUUGUCUUCAUUCCCUAUUCUCUCCAUGUUUAUUGUGUAUUGGCUGCAAACCAACAGAGAAUGGUGUUUCUCUUUGAUGUCAUUCCAGUUGCAAACCUUUGUUUCUGUUCUGUGAAAACAAGCCUCAAGUCUCAUUUUGAUGGUACGACAGCAAUAAUUAGCAAGGCACUUAAUUACAACACUUUUUGAUUUUUCUAACCACACAGUUUUUGCUCUUCUUUGCAGGAUAACAAGGAGUAUUAUCACUAUUAACAGCUCAAAUAUGUAUAUUGUAUCGUGUGCCUGUGUACAUAGACUGCCUUUGCGAUUUUGCCAUUUUGUAGACAGCAGAGAUAACAGUGCAAACUUCACACUGAUUUUCUUGGCACACCUCCCAGACUAUAAUACAUUCAUAAUGUAAGGUAUCCAAGCUAAUCACAAUCAGUCACCAUGUUUUGAAAUCUUUUCACUUGUGGUUGUUAAGUGAAGAACUAGCAUUGACAAAGGAUAGAUAAUGAGAGGAGAGUAGAUAGCUGAUUUUGCAGCCUUCAGUAACAGGCUGUGAGCUGUCCGUGGUCCUGUCUGUGGAGCGACACACAUACACGUCCAAGUGUAACUGGGAUGUGUUUCAAAAGCAUUGCCACUCAAGAAAGGUUGAGUUACACUUCAUCACAGUAUGAUUUAUAGCAUCAUAUUAUAUAUCAGAAUAGAAUCCCAUAGCAUAUAGUAGCAUUGGCUGAAUCUAGUUGGCACUGGAGGACCAGUUCCCUGUUUUAGUGUUGUACACGGAGGGUGAUGACAACCCUAUUUGCAAGUGCAUGUUGACUUAUCGU